GUCUGUGAGCCGGGGCUGAGGCUACGGCCAUCCCCCGGGGCGGGGGAGGAAGAGUCUGGGGAGGGACCUGCUCUGGCACCCUCGGGGUGGCAGCCUGAAGAGGAGGUGGAGCCGCUGCCCCCGUCUAGUCUCAAGCCAGAGUCUAGGGAGACGGGGUGGAGGCAGCUGCUGAGCAGAUGCCCUGCAGCCUUUGCUGUGCUCCACGACCCAGUACCCCCUGUGGCCCCUCACCCUCAGCGUGGGUCGUGGCCUCCAUGGCCUCCAGUCUCUGCAGGUCCCGCAGCCGCUCCUCCAGCAGCCGCUUCUGCUGUUUCCGUUUGCGCCUCAUCUUCUUCCUCUUGUUUUUGGACAGCUUACCGGUCUGCUGUCAGAGCCAGGGUCACCCCAGAGUUCCUGUCGCCCACCCCAGUCAGCAUGAAGUGGAGGUUUCCCUGCAUGGCCACCAGGGAAGAGGCCUCUCCGGGCCCCAGGGCUCCCAUGGACACCAGAAUGUCCCUGCCUCCCCGCCUGUGGCCCCACUCCCCACAGCUCCAUUAGGAGUGGGAGGACCUGACUGGCCCGCCUCAGGGUGCUCUGUGUUCCCUCUCAGCCCAAGCUAAGGCAGCCGGAAGUGGCCACUCGGGAAAGACGGCAUCCUUUCACCAAGAGCAGUUUGGGGCAUUUGAACCAUCCCGGGAGUCACCCUCCGCCCAGCCACCCGGCCUUUCGGGAUGACCACUGUGGGAGUGCAUGAAGCAGGGAGUGAAGCCAGUGUGCUCCAGAGAUGGCCUCCAGUUGGCUCGGAUGGGAGAGGAGGCAUGGGAGAGAGGGGCCCCCCAACUUACCAAGACCUCCUGGGGGGCAGUGCUGACUGGGAGUGUAGGUGGGGAGCAGGAGACAGGGAGGAACAGAGACUCAGGCAAGGGUUCAGGCCCAGAGGCCCUGACCCAGCCCCAUGUGGACCCUUGGUACCUAUGGAGCGGGAAGGGGGCGGCGCCCCUGCCUGUUGCCACUCCGUGGCCUCGGCAGCCAGGCGCCUGAUGUAGGCGUCCCCCACACAUAGCAGGAUGUUCUCGGGCUUAAUGUCCGUGUGGAUGAUCUUGCACUUGGUAUGGAGGUAGUCCAGGCCAUGCAGCACCUGCGGAGGGUUGCACCUGACCUCCACGAACUCCCCCUCAGGCCAGGCUGGGCAGCCCAGUGGGUGGCACUCACCUGCCUCACGAUGCUCUUCACGCAGGGCACGGGCAGGCCCUGGUAGUUGGACUUGAUGAUCCAUUUGAGAAGCUGGUGGCCCAGCACCUCCAGCACCAUACACACAUCUAGGCCGGGAGUGAAGGGUGGACAGUAGACACCAGCUGCGGCUCAGGCCCCACCCACCCUCAGCUGGGGGAGCGGCAAGGCUUGGGCCAUGCGGAGGUGGGGAGGCAGGGCCUCCCCGGGGCAGUCCUGGUCACCAGUAUGCUGGUGUCAUCGAUAGUGUCCCUGUCGCUCUCAACAGGUAUGCCAGUUGGGAUGGUGCAUUUUGUGGUCAUCCUAGAGGUGGCGCUGGAGAAGCAGGCACAGAGGCCUCUCAGGCCAGCCCACUCCCAUGCCAGUUAUGCCAUAGGGCCUCUUGGCAGUCCCCCAAAGGGAAGGCAGCACCACAGAGGCAGCACCUGCUGUUUGGGGGUGACAGCAACGUCCACGGACAAUCAACGCUAGCUUAUUACUGCCUCCACGUAAACACAAUUACCUGGGGGUGGGGUCAUGCCAGAGGCUUGCGUUACUGGGAGGGAUGCAAGCCCACUGUGUGGAUCUGCAGACAGGCUCUAGCAGUGAGGGCCCCCCGUUUGCUGGCCCUUGGCUGCCACACUGCUUUGCUCUUCCUGCAAAGGAUACGGACUCCAUUGACUCCUGAGAUCCUGAAGUCAUCAAUGAGUUGGACAAUGGUCUCUCUUUUGGGGUCACUGGGGUCGCUGUCUCGGACCUGGAGUAAAAGCCAAGGGGCCACAGACAGUUCCACCCUGCCCUGAAGCCCACAGCUCCCUUCAGUGUAUCCCUCUUCUACUCCAGCUGGGCCCUGCUGGAAGAAAGGUCGCCAACCCCUCCUGUCCCUCGCCCGUUCCUCCAGAUCCUCCCCCUCUGGCACAGCCAGCUGGAGGCUGCCCCUCGGGGAGCCCCGCCCUGCCCCACAGAGCCCCAGCAGGCCCUGCACCCGCAUUGCCAGGUCCCAGGCAGCUCCAGGGGAGCUGGGAGUGGGUAGGGAGGUGCCUCACACAUUUCAGGAGCUUGAUCUCAUCCACAGCUGUCUCCGUGUAAUGUCCUGCACUCUUCACCACUUUCAGGGCCACAAAGCGCUUGCGCCUGCAAUACCGAGACCCUUGUAGGCUGUGGCCCUGGCAGGACCCACGGCAGGGAUCAGGGUGGCCCCAACCAAACCCAGGGACAGGAUCCCAGCCAGUGCUGGGCCCAGAAGGCGAAGGAGGCACUCACUGGAUGUCCCAGCAGAGCCAGACGGUGGAGAAGUGGCCCCAGCCCAGUUUGCGCACCACGUGGUACCGCCCAUUGAACAGCCCCUAGGACAAGUGGGAGCCCAGUGCCCUCUGAAUGUGGCGUUGCUGGGGACCCCUCAUUUCCCCUACCAGAGGCACCAGGCCUGCUGAGGGAAGGCCUGGGAGUUUGCGAGCCCAGAACCUGCUCCUGCGACCCUGCCUGGCACCCUGGCUCCCAGCACCUGCUCUUCUUCUCCACCAUUUGCAAGGUGUGGUGGCUAAUGCCUGUGAUCCCAGCAUUUUGGGAGGCUGAGGCGGGC